UUUCUCAAGUAUGCGCGCGCAAUAAUAUUUUCAAAGUCAAUAAAAUUUUCUUAUAAACUUAAUACUUUAAUUGGUAUUAGCAUCCAGAAAGGUUGGUGGAUGUGGAUUAUCUAUUGGAAAUUUGCGAUCAAUUAAAUUGAAAACUUUGACAGUUCGACAAAACGGUGUUCAACAAGAUGGCCGCCUCUUGUGCUGACAAUUUUCAAGAAGCCGUUCAGUGUAACAGCGAAAAAAAUCACGUUAUCUUAAUAACCAAUCAGGUACAAAUUCAGGAUGUCUUGUCUUCAUUGCUAGAAUGCCCUUGACCCAAAGGUAUUACCAGGCUAUGAGAGGGGAAGGCCCACAUAAUGUGGGGUCGGCGCAAGCACAGGCGUAAAUAAUUUCCCUUUCUCUGUGACACAGAAGCCUACAUUUUGUGUUUUAAUAGGUGCAUUUAACCUUUUUGACUCUAAUAACUUAAUUGUAUGGAUAAAUGCGUAUAUAUAAAAAUAUUGGUCACGAAAGGAGAGCACGCUGAAAUAAAAAGACGUGGCAUGUAAACCAUUUUUGACUUUUAUGCAUAUUAAUAUGAAAAUUUUAACUGAAUUACGUUUUAAUUGCUGAAUUUUAAAUGUCAUUUAAUAUCUGGUGACUGGUUAAAUGUAGCCUCAUUAGUGUGACAUUAUGGUGGCAUAAGAAAUAAGAGAUGCUUUAAUGCUUAUUUUUAUGCACAAACUUGAUGGCGUCAACGUAUCUGAAUGAAAUGAUAAUAGCCUUAGAAGACGCGGGGACUUCUUUUGCAGCAGUGGUUUACUGUUAGUAUAUUAGUAAAUUCUAGGAAAAAUAAAGGGCAAAUUUUAUUACUAGCAGUAUAGUUACUACCUAGCUACCUACUAUAAUACCUUAUAUAAUCAUUUGGUACAGUACCAAAUGUUUCUGGUAUGUUAUAAUUAUGUAAACAUUUUGUUUGCUGAUCAUGUCAUAUCACUAUACUAACCUUUUAGAGAUACAUAGGAGUGCGAUAAAUAUUUAGAAUAAUAUGUAAUAAUUAAAAAAAAUAUGCUAAAAUAUACUAUAGUUAUACUUUAUACCUGCUGAUAUAUACAUAUUUGUAUGACAUGAGCUUAUCACAUGUGUAUUGUGUAUUUUUUUUGUUAUAGCGUCCUUGUCUAAACUCUUUAUAUUCAGCAACAAGCAUAAACGAAUCUAAUCAGCUAUUUUAAUUUGUGAUUAUAAUAACCAUUAUAAAUGUCUGAAAAAAUUAUCUUCUGAAGUGUGUUUUUAUUUGUUUAUUAUGUGUCGAUAUAUAUUUGGGUGUACCGUUAACACUUAUCGAUGUUGUUUGCACUUCGUCAUUGUUAGACAUGUUUUUAAAUAUAUUAGAACUUAAAACGGAUGUGUCAUAUAAAGCUUCAAAAUUAUAUACAUUUGGUAUGUGCUUAAAAACAAAUCCAUGUACAUAUAUUAUAUGCAAUAAAUGACUAAACAAA